rfam:Ixodes scapularis strain Wikel colony gcontig_1108378244558, whole genome shotgun sequence.
CCCUGGUUGGCUCAGUUGGUAGAGCGCUCCACCUGUAAUAGAGAGGUCCCGGGUUCGAUACCCGGACCAGGCG